CAAGAGAAGAUGGUUCAGUGUUGUCCUGAGCCACUCGUUUGUGGCUAAGCAGCCAUGGGAAACUAACAUACGUUCUGCCGCUCAGCAACCCCAUUUCUAGGACUUCAUCCUGCAGACACACCUGAGGCUCGGUCACACCCAGGCACGCUUCAUCCUUC